CCUACGGGUGGCAGCAGUGAGGAAUAUUGGGCAAUGGACGAGAGUCUGAACCAGCCAAGUAGCGUGAAGGAUGACUGCCCUAUGGGUUGUAAACUUCUUUUAUAAAGGAAUAAAACGAGGCACGUGUGCCUGUUUGCAUGUACUUUAUGAAUAAGGAUCGGCUAACUCCGUGCAAGCAGCCGCGGUAAUACGGAGGAUCCGAGCGUUAUCCGGAUUGAUUGGGUUGAAAGGGAGCGUAGAGGGGUUGUUAAGUCAGUGGUGAAAGUUUGCGGCGCAACCGUAAAAUUGCAAUUGAUACUGGCCGUCUUGUGUACAGUUGCGGUAGGCGGAAUUCGUGGUGUAGCGGUGCAAUGCUUCGAUCUCACG
rnacentral:rRNA from 1 species